UGCUCGAGAGACAGAGAGAGAGAGAGAGAGAGAGAGAGAGAGUGCCUCGGAGAGAACGAACGUGAGUGACGCCGAGAAGAGGACCGCGACGGAGGAGAGACGCCGGGACGGAGCUGAGGCGCGCCGGCGAGAAGAGAACGGACCUGAGCGACGCCGAGGGGAGAAGUGGGAGCUUGGUAUGGGUGAGGAUAGUCCGGCGGCGACGUAAGGGUUCCGUGACAACGCGGGCGGCGACGGCACCCUCUGGCCGAGGCGAGUGGUUCGGCGAUGGAGAAGGUGGGGGUGAGUGGCUGCUAGGGCUAGUCUGUCUUCUCUGAUGUGUAAAACUACGGGAGAGGGAGAGGGAGAGGGUGAGGGUGAGGGUGAGUGGGUUUAGGGUUAGUGGGUUACUGAUUGCA